CCUACGGGAGGCAGCAGUGGGGAAUCUCGCGCAAUGGGCGAAAGCCUGACGCAGCCAUGCCGCGUGAAUGAUGAAGGUCUUAGGAUUGUAAAAUUCUUUCACCGGGGACGAUAAUGACGGUACCCGGAGAAGAGGCCCAGGCUAACUUCGUGACAGCAGACGCGAUAAUACGAAGGGGGAGAGCGUUGCUCGGAAUUACUGGGCGUCAAGGGAGCGUAGGCGGUCUGUUAAGUUAGAGGAGACAGCCCAGGGCGCAACCUUGGAAGUGCCUUUGGUACUGGCAGUCGUGAGUACCGAAGAGGUAUGUGGAACUCCGAGUGUAGAGGUGAAAUUCGUAGAUAUUCGGAAGAACACCAGUGGCGAAGGCGACAUACUGGUCCGUUACUGACGCUGAGGCUCGAAAGCGUGGGGAGCAAACAGGAUUAGAUACCCGGGUAGUC
rnacentral:rRNA from 1 species